rnacentral:rRNA from 1 species
UGGGGAAUCUUGCGCAAUGGGCGAAAGCCUGACGCAGCGACGCCGCGUGAGGGAAGAAGGCCUUCGGGUUGUAAACCUCUUUCAGGAGGGACGAAGCCACUCGGGUUAAUACCCCAGAGGGUGACGGUACCUCCAGAAGAAGCCCCGGCUAACUACGUGCCAGCAGCCGCGGUAAUACGUAGGGGGCAAGCGUUGUCCGGAAUUAUUGGGCGUAAAGCGCGUGUAGGCGGCCAGAUAAGUCCGCUGUGAAAUCUCGAGGCUCAACUUCGAGCUGUCAGUGGAAACUGUCUGGCUAGAGUCCGGAAGAGGAGAAUGGAAUUCCUGGUGUAGCGGAGAAAUGCGCAGAUAUCAGGAAGAACACCCGUGGCGAAGGCGGUUCUCUGGGACGGUACUGACGCUGAGACGCGAAAGCGUGGGGAGCGAACAGG